UACGAGGGGUGCAAGCGUUGCUCGGAAUUAUUGGGCAUAAAGGGUAGGUAGGUGGUCUUAUUUGUCUGGGGUGAAAUCCUUGAGCUCAACUCAAGAAGUGCCCUAGAAACGGUAAGACUAGAGUCCUGGAGAGGGUCGUGGAAUUCCCGGUGUAGCGGUGAAAUGCGUAGAGAUCGGGAGGAACACCAGUGGCGAAGGCGGCUCACUGGCCCGAUACUGACGCUGAGGCACGAAAGCGUGGGGAGCAAACAGG
rnacentral:rRNA from 1 species